rnacentral:hammerhead_ribozyme from 1 species
GUCCAGCUGACGAGUCGAAAAUAGGACGAAACGUGCAUCAAACUGGAU